rnacentral:rRNA from 1 species
UACAGAGGUCUCAAGCGUUGUUCGGAUUCAUUGGGCGUAAAGGGUGCGUAGGCGGCGCGGUAAGUCGGGUGUGAAAGCCCCGGGCUCAACCCGGGAAUUGCACUUGAUACUGUCGUGCUUGAGGCCGGGAGAGGAUGGCGGAAUUCCCAGUGUAGAGGUGAAAUUCGUAGAUAUUGGGAAGAACACCGGUGGCGAAGGCGGCCAUCUGGACCGGUACUGACGCUGAGGUGCGAAAGCGUGGGGAGCAAACAGG